ensembl:snoRNA SNORA72 Small nucleolar RNA SNORA72
AUAUACAUUUUUCCCACUGUUCUGAUUUUGUAACAAUCCGGACAGGCUUAACUUUCACCAUAUUAAGAACAUGCAUGGUCCCUAGACCUAGGUCUUUUCUUUUCCUAAGUGUGGUUUUAUGAAUGCUGGUGAUAAGU